rnacentral:rRNA from 1 species
UAGAGCGGCGGACGGGUGAGUAACACGUGGACAAUCUGCCCCCCGGCCCGGGAUAGCCCAGGGAAACCUGGAUUAAUACCGGAUGAGACGGGACCCGCGAUGGCGGGAUCCGGGAAAGGCGCUGCGGCGCCGCCGGGGGAUGAGUCUGCGUCCCAUUAGCUAGACGGCGGGGUAACGGCCCACCGUGGCGACGAUGGGUAGCCGGCCUGAGAGGGUGGACGGCCACAUUGGAACUGAGACACGGUCCAGACUCCUACGGGAGGCAGCAGCUAAGAAUCUUCCGGCAAUGGGCGAAAGCCUGACGGAGCGAACCGCCGCGUGAACGAAGAAGGCCGUGAGGUUGUAAAGUUCUUUUCGGGAGGGGGAACAACCGUGGCAGGGAAUGGCCGCGGGAUGACGUGAAUCCCGGAAUAAGCCCCGGCUAACUACGUGCCAGCCGCCGC